rnacentral:tRNA from 1 species
UUCCUUUUAGUAAAAAAGUGAUUACGUUGGUCUUGUAAAUCAAAGUUGGUUGUUCCAAAGGUUU